UACAGAUUGAUUUGACGAGCUGUAAUCAAAGACAACUGUACCCUGUGAAUGCUUCAAAGUACUUUUUUUGUGCGCUAGUAUGGUUUUAUCCAAGCUCUCUAAGCCUUGGUUAGAUAAAGCUUUGUAUUUACUGUUAAUGAGAUGGUCACAUUCAAACACUGGGUCAUCCUGGAAUUGAUGAUAUGGUCAUAUAAGAUAGAGCGAGCAAGCUAUAUAUCAUUUGUAGGAUGGUAGUACUAGCAUUGAUGUUUUCUGACUAGUUCACCUAGUGGCUGCAUGUAAAUGUGGGAAAAGACUGAAGAGAACUCAUGCAUGCAGUUCUAGACAUAAGGCAUCUGGUGAUGAAAUGCAGUUUCCCAUAACUUUGAUGUUGGGUUACAGGCCUUUAGAAAGUACUCAACCCAUUUUAGCAAACUGCAUCUUUCACCUCUACCUGAUAAGACAGCAAAUGCUGUGUACAGGCUCUGGAACAUGAAAAUGCCUUUUUGCCCUCUAUCCACUGACAAAUGGAGAUCAUCCAUCAGUGCCACUAAUGUAAUUUUAGUUCGGUGUCCUUCCCUGACCUGAAUUCAGAGUCAUGAAUUCAGUUUCAUAUGUGGUAGUUUCAGUCAUCUAACUAAUGGCAUCUCAGAAUUUAUCCAGUCUUCCAUUAGCAUGCAUUGUCCAUUGAGUGUCAUUCUGUGAAGUGUUUGGGACAUCUUCAGGAAUGUGCCACCUGAGUCCUUAGCAGGAUACAAACUCUUCAAAAACACCUUCUCUAUGGAACACAAAUGACCACUCAUUGCAAAAUCACCCAAGAGUGCAGGGUGAGUGGUUUCCAUCCUGACAGACUGUAAUGUACAUUGCAAAAUCUUUUUCCUAUCCACAGAGAGUUAGAAAGAAACUCGUACAGGAAAAUCCUUCCUAAUCCCCAGAUGCUGUAAAACAUAGCAGCAAAAUCCCUCUAUCAUCGUACAUGAACACAUACUGCAAAAUCCCACUGUGGCUAUACAGACCCAAUAACAAGAACUCCAUGGAGGCUGGCAUCGUCCCAGAAACACUGUAAAAGACGGCAGAGAGAUUUGAAUUCUGUACGCCAGAUCCUACGAUGUUGAGCACAUGACCGCAACAUAGAUGACAUUCCUGCCUGGAACAGAUACAACUGCGAUGCGAAGGGAGAACUACGUUCAUCUGACUGCUGACAUGCAAUGUUGAUGAGCAGUGCUGAGAGGGGAGGUUUGGUGUCCUUACGCACCCUCUUGCUCUCUGCAGUAAGUUCACCCUUGUGUGUGCAGUGUUCAGCGGAGGUGCACAACUACUACAGCACUAGCCUGAUUUACACUGAUGUUCUAAUAGGCAGGGUCAUGUAUUUGUAAGUACUUCAACACGUCCCUAAACAGCUAGAAAACACUUGGCUAUUAAAAUGUUCGUCCCAUUUCACCUCAUGCGAUGUCAAUACAUCAUAGUUGAUGACGGAAAGCCAAGAUUACUACGUCUAUAAAAAUUACAUUGUCUGGUAACUAUAACUGGAAUUUCAGCAGAAAAAUGGGCUAUCUAGUGAAAAAUGUCAUCAAUUGCUGUGUCCUGUGGCACUUACAUGUUAGUUCAGAAGCUCUCUUUUCCAUCCUAAACAGCUUAGCUGUUGUAAGCAGAAACCAUUACAUUUAGCAAUCCUACAUGUUUUUUGCAAGUGCUUUCUACCUGUUGAAUUCAAACCUGCUUCUACAGAUGAUG